UUAGAGUUUGAUCCUGGCUCAGGAUGAACGCUAGCGGCAGGCUUAACACAUGCAAGUCGAGGGGCAGCGAGAUCAGUGCUUGCACUGAUUGUCGGCGACCGGCGCACGGGUGCGUAACGCGUAUGCAACCUACCCAUUACAGGGGGAUAACACUGAGAAAUCGGUACUAAUACCCCAUAACAUCCAGGGAGGCAUCUUCUUGGGUUGAAAACUCCGGUGGUAAUGGAUGGGCAUGCGUUGUAUUAGUUAGUUGGUGGGGUAACGGCUCACCAAGACAACGAUACAUAGGGGGACUGAGAGGUUAACCCCCCACAUUGGUACUGAGACACGGACCAAACUCCUACGGGAGGCAGCAGUGAGGAAUAUUGGUCAAUGGACGCAAGUCUGAACCAGCCAUGCCGCGUGCAGGAAGACGGCUCUAUGAGUUGUAAACUGCUUUUGUACGAGGGUAAACGCAGAUACGCGUAUCUGUCUGAAAGUAUCGUACGAAUAAGGAUCGGCUAACUCCGUGCCAGCAGCCGCGGUAAUACGGAGGAUUCAAGCGUUAUCCGGAUUUAUUGGGUUUAAAGGGUGCGUAGGCGGUCGGAUAAGUUAGAGGUGAAAUCCCGGGGCUCAACUUCGGAAUUGCCUCUGAUACUGUUCGGCUAGAGAGUAGUUGCGGUAGGCGGAAUGUAUGGUGUAGCGGUGAAAUGCUUAGAGAUCAUACAGAACACCGAUUGCGAAGGCAGCUUACCAAGCUACUUCUGACGUUGAGGCACGAAAGCGUGGGGAGCAAACAGGAUUAGAUACCCUGGUAGUCCACGCAGUAAACGAUGAUAACUCGUUGUCGGCGAUACAGUGUCGGUGACUAAGCGAAAGCGAUAAGUUAUCCACCUGGGGAGUACGUUCGCAAGAAUGAAACUCAAAGGAAUUGACGGGGGCCCGCACAAGCGGAGGAACAUGUGGUUUAAUUCGAUGAUACGCGAGGAACCUUACCCGGGCUUGAAAGUUAGUGACGGAUCUUGAAAGAGGUCUUCCCUUCGGGGCACGAAACUAGGUGCUGCAUGGUUGUCGUCAGCUCGUGCCGUGAGGUGUCGGGUUAAGUCCCAUAACGAGCGCAACCCCUACCGUUAGUUGCCAGCAGGUCAAGCUGGGCACUCUGACGGGACUGCCGGUGUAAGCCGAGAGGAAGGUGGGGAUGACGUCAAAUCAGCACGGCCCUUACGUCCGGGGCUACACACGUGUUACAAUGGCAGGUACAGAGGGCAGCUACCCAGCGAUGGGAUGCGAAUCUCGAAAGCCUGUCUUAGUUCGGAUUGGAGGCUGAAACCCGCCUCCAUGAAGUUGGAUUCGCUAGUAAUCGCGCAUCAGCCAUGGCGCGGUGAAUACGUUCCCGGGCCUUGCACACACCGCCCGUCA
rnacentral:rRNA from 1 species